AUAACAAUGAUCUUGUGUUUGUUCUAUAGGUGGAAAAAUAAUCGGCAGUUUGUGUGCAUUCACUGGGAUCCUGGCAAUAGCUCUUCCUGUGCCCGUGAUUGUCGCAAAU